UGUUUGGUUGUUUGUUAAGCAUAGCGCCACCGCUUAACGUUAAUUAGUUGUAAUUACAAACUAGAGCGAUGUCGAGUAGCAGUGCAAUGAAUAUAUGGCGUUUCUCUCAUCAAAAACCAUCAAAGUUGGCAGGAGAGUGCAGCAGCGAUUUAACUUUAGACGAAAGGCCUAAAGCGAAAUAUUCAAGAGUUCUGUAAUACCGAAUCCACUUGUCCCAAUAAUCGGACAGCGUGAUGUCGAGCCCCGUGACGUGUGUUUAGACUGCUCCAGUCUUCACGAGAGCAGCGGUUUGGAGACCCGGGCCAGCUGCAUCUGUGCCAGUAUCUUCAGUGUCUGUGAGCAGUUACUCAAGGGGUAUCAAAUCAGAUCAGAAGGUUAUGAACAGUCUUAAAGAAUAAAUCUGAUGCCUCGUAAGACUAUUCUUAGCUGUUUGUGCAGCUGGGCCCAGGCUUUAUAGUCGGAUAAAGAGGUUUUCCGCAGACAGAAACAAAGACGCAGAACCUGUAAAGCAGAGGUGGGGGACUCCAAUCACAAUUUAGAGGACUUGCAAAUUAAUUGCUUUAUUAAAGUAUGAAAAUGACUUGAACGUAUAAUAAACAAUCAGCAAUAAAAGUAAUAAUAAUAAAAACGAUAUCAUUGUGACGUCAGCACCACGAAUCCGCGUCGGUGCGUUUAACACUGGACAGAUCAAACCGCGCCAGACGUAGCAGACAGUAGCCGAGCUCCACAGAUAGUCUCGUUUGGUUAUAAAGACUUUGAACUGGCCCGUGCCAAUAAAAAAAGAUUUGCCAGAUUUAAAAUGUGCAAGCAAGAAUAUCCGACACGACAACGUCAAAUUUCAUUCGACAUUUCAAGAACCACAAAGAAAGGUAAGAAAUUCAUCUCUUUUAUUGUCAGUUUCACUAAGAUCUAUAACGAUUACUAAUGCACGUUAAUGAAGCAAUCUUUUAUGUUUGUCAUAAUUUGGCCUUGGUUGCAUGUUUUUUUCUUAUUAGAAAUGUGACCAUUAUAUGUGUGCAUUUUCAAGUGUUUGUGUUGACUGUGUGUGGAAACUGGCCUUUCAGACAGUUCGAUUAAAUAAAACGGUUCUUUUGCGCUCGACGCAAUGACGUCUUUAGCGAUGAUUGCCCUUGCGAGUAGUCACAGUUCAGAUUCAAUCACCAAAAGAAUCAGUUCAGUUCAGACGCUCUGUGUGUCCGUCUUCUUGACGCUGAAUCACACAUGCGCAGUAUCAUCCGCUCCUAGGUUCACGAAUCGGACCCGUCCGAAUUGUCGAUUGUCCGAAACAAUGACAGAAGUAGAAAAAUUGAGUGGGGUGACCUUUUUUCCGCUCAAUAAGUUAGCCUAAUUUUAAGUUUUUACAAUGUUUUUGUAACGUAUUAACUAUCAUGGGCUGUAAUAAAAAAAAAAAAAAACAAGUAGACCUAUACUAAUACUAGUAAAUUGGUUGGAAUAGUCUAUUUAGUAGGCUAUGUGGAUAUGUUACAGCUCACAUUUGAAGCUCUGCUCACAGGUGAUUACAGAUGAGUUUUGCUCCUGUUUUUGCUUUUCAGAUAAAAUGAUAGUGUAACCGAGCGUCGUGCAGGGUCCGCCUAAACAUUCAGUAAUAAGAAAACAAUAAAACCAGAGUCUGAACUCUUCUUGACUUUUUAUUAUUCCUCACACCAAGGAGAACUUCCCAAAAACCCAUGACACUAGAGGAGAGAAGUGUGCAUGCCCAUUGCCUAUCUAGGGCAAGCCCCGAGGGGAUAAAUGCAUUACACACACACGCGCGCACACACACGCGCACACACACACAUGUAAAGAGCGCCCAUACAUCCAGAAUUAGUGCAAUAUAACGGAAUCAAAUAAAGUCUGUUACAAUAGUUUCAGUUUAAUAUGUUGCAGGCUAAUUUAUUGGUCAUUUAUAAUAAAUAAUAUUGAUGAUAAUGAAUUAUCGCGCAUCACUCUUGGGCUUCGCCCUUUUUAUUUGGAGGGGAUUCCGUCAGAUAACGGCUGCCAUGGGACCAACGCAAUGAAAAUGUGCAUGUAAUCAGAAAAGAAACACAAGGAUGAUGUUUUAUCUAUAAAAUAUCUGGUAUGAGAGUAUCGGGUUUGUCUCCACAUGAAAUAAAUCCACAUGUAAGUCUGGGUCAGAGAUGUGAGGAAAGGUUGAUUUAUUUGAUCAGUUGGCAAAAUUACAUCAACUUUGCCAACUGCUGUUUUUUUAAUGUGUGUGUUUUUUUGUUUUUUUAAUAGUUUAUAUAAAAAUCAUGAUUCAGCAGCCGAUUCAAAUAGCAGAUAUGUAAAGUAUUGACACUGCAGCUGACGCUCUGUGUCAAGACACAGGCCAUUACGGCUUUUCCUUAAAGUUCAUUAUCUAAAAAUAAAUAAUGAUGUCCUCAUUUAUUUUUGAUAGAAUGAGUUACUGCUUAGGGUUGUUUGCCAGUGAUGGGUUACAUCUUCAUGUUUACGCCAAGAUCCUUCUUCAGAGCUCUACAGCUGAACCAAGUUAAGAGUCUCAGAAAACAGCAGUUUUAGUAUUUCUGAAUUCAGAGGUACCUACGGUUUUCUGACUGGUUACUAGAGAGCACCUAGGCUAUGUGAGGAGGUUGCUAUGGAGUUACUAGGAGGUUUAAGUAAGAAGCAUCGACCUAGUUAGUUAGCAGGUAAAAUAGAAAUGAAAUUCAUCUCCAGCAUUAACACGGACAGCGAACAACUAACAAGAUGAUUAGAAAGUUUUAUUCCGAAGUCACUGUAGCCACAAGAUCCAGAUCAGAUGGUGACAUGGUUCCUGUCUUUAUCCAGCCAGAAUGUAUCUACAUCCCUGAAUGUCAGCAGAGACUAGGACAACUAGAAGAGCCCCAGAGACAGAUCCCAAGCGAAGACCUCGGAACCCUCCAUAAGCAUCAAGGGACCCCCUCAUAAGGCCCAAAAAAAUGACCUUGGGGGGCUCCCCUGGUUUUGUUAGUAAAACUAAAAUAGAAACAAUAUUUGAAAUAGCCCUAUCUAUUUUUUUUUUAUCAAAGUAUUGCGCUGCCGCUCCCAUAAAAAGCUCCUUCAAAUUAGAUGUGCAUCUGAAAAUAUGCUCAAGUACGCCACACACUGUUUUCUGAAGGAAUUUACUCCAAGUGACCAUCACUCCGGACUGCAGGCGCGAUGUUGCUGUGUGAUUGGCUGGCAGAGUGAUCCUUCCUCAUUAUUUUACCUCACGAUGACGGUAAAAUAAUAUUUCUUUGUUUUAUGAUUGUUUGGUACACCUAAUUUACUGCUACUGAAUAAGUGUUUAUUUUAGAAUCUGACAGUCACUUUUAUCAUAAUCUUGGUCUGUCAAUAGUUGUUUUUUUAUCUUAUGGUGCUAGCUCACUAUCGGAUUGUUAGUUGUAAAUUAGCCAUCUAACAUAAUUCUGAGGGGAAAAAAAGCUAGCAUUGCACCCAUUCUGAAUUAAACAAAUAAUUUUUAAUCUAUAACCUUAACUGCUCAAAAAUUUAAUUAAGGACAUUAUUACUGAUGAACAUGUUAAUCGGGUGAAGGCUUUUUUUGUGUUAACGAUGACUAAGCAGGGUUGUUAACUCUCACAAAUUGUGCGUGAGACACACAUGCGUUGAUUAUUACGCCGAAGACAAGCACAUGCAGAUCAACCGUUUUUGUUAUGAAUUGUAUCCUAUUUUCCGUUAUUAUGUAUAGCCUAAUACAAUUACUGUAGUAUUUAAGGUUAAAUUUAGAAAAGGGUUUUAAAUUCAAUGCAGAAAGGCAAAUUAAAGUCAUUUUGUGGCC